AACGAACGCUGGCGGCAUGCCUAACACAUGCAAGUCGAACGAGACCUUCGGGUCUAGUGGCGCACGGGUGCGUAACGCGUGGGAACCUGCCCUUAGGUUCGGAAUAACUCCCCGAAAGGGGUGCUAAUACCGGAUAAUGUCUUCGGACCAAAGAUUUAUCGCCUUUGGAUGGGCCCGCGUUGGAUUAGCUAGUUGGUAGUGUAAAAGCCUACCAAGGCGACGAUCCAUAGCUGGUCUGAGAGGAUGAUCCGCCACACUGGGACUGAGACACGGCCCAGACUCCUACGGGAGGCAGCAGUGGGGAAUAUUGGACAAUGCGCGAAAGCCUGAUCCAGCCAUGCCGCGUGAGUGAUGAAGGCCUUAGGGUUGUAAAGCUCUUUUACCCGGGAUGAUAAUGACAGUACCGGGAGAAUAAGCUCCGGCUAACUCCGUG
rnacentral:rRNA from 1 species